GUAGGUGGCAAGCGUUGUCCGGAAUUAUUGGGCGUAAAGCGCGCGCAGGGCGGUCCUUUAAGUCUGAUGUGAAAGCCCACGGCUCAACCGUGGAGGGUCAUUGGAAACUGGGGGACUUGAGUACAGAAGAGGAAAGCGGAAUUCCAAGUGUAGCGGUGAAGUGCGUAGAGAUUUGGAGGAACACCAGUGGCGAAGGCGGCUUUCUGGUCUGUAACUGACGCUGAGGCGCGAAAGCGUGGGGAGCAAACAGGAUUAGAUACCCUGGUAGUCCACGCCGUAAACGAUGAGUGCUAAGUGUUAGGGGGUUUCCGCCCCUUAGUGCUGCAGCUAACGCAUUAAGCACUCCGCCUGGGGAGUACGGCCGCAAGGCUG
rnacentral:rRNA from 1 species